GACGAACGCUGGCGGCGUGCUUAACACAUGCAAGUCGAACGGAGCGAAUGAAAGCUUGCUUUUAUGAGCUUAGUGGCAAACGGGUGAGUAACACGUAGGCAACCUGCCGACAGGAUGGGGACAACAUUCCGAAAGGAAUGCUAAUACCGAAUGAAGCGGAGGAGAGGCAUCUCCCCUCCGUGAAAGAUGGCCUCUUUUUAUGCUAUCACCUGUCGAUGGGCCUGCGUCUGAUUAGCUGGUUGGUGAGGUAACGGCUCACCAAGGCGACGAUCAGUAGCCGGUCUGAGAGGAUGAACGGCCACAUUGGGACUGAGACACGGCCCAGACUCCUACGGGAGGCAGCAGUGGGGAAUCUUCCGCAAUGGGCGCAAGCCUGACGGAGCAACGCCGCGUGAGUGAAGAAGGUCUUCGGAUCGUAAAGCUCUGUUGAUGGGGACGAACGUGCCUAAUGCGAGUAGUUUUAGGCAAUGACG
rnacentral:rRNA from 1 species